rnacentral:sRNA from 1 species
UAGUAACACUCUGGCAGUCGUCCGCCGC